rnacentral:rRNA from 1 species
UACGAAGGGGGGCUAGCGUUGCUCGGAAUCACUGGGCGUAAAAGCGCACGUAGGCGGCUUUCUAAGUCAGGGGGUGAAAUCCUGGAGCUCAACUCCAGAACUGCCUUUGAUACUGGAAAGCUUGAGUUCGGGAGAGGUGAGUGGAACUGCGAGUGUAGAGGUGAAAUUCGUAGAUAUUCGCAGGAACACCAGUGGCGAAGGCGGCUCACUGGUCCGGUACUGACGCUGAGGUGCGGAAGCGUGGGGAGCAAACAAG